rnacentral:misc_RNA from 1 species
CCCGUAGCCCUAUAUACCCAUGAGAUAGAGCUUUGCUCGUGUACCAAAUCAGGUGGGCUGGGCUGCCAUGGUGGAAAUGCUGUGGUGGCUUGUCCACGAAUUACAAUCAUAAUAUGGGCGGGGGUGAAUCCUUUGCAGACGACUUGAAUGGGAACGGGGUACUGUAAGCGGUAGAGUAGCCUUGUUGCUACGAUCCGCUGAGGUUAAGCCCUUGUUCUAUAGAUUUGUUCAACAAUCUUGUUGGACUCUUCUCUCUUCUUUCUUUCUAUCCAGCUCGGACUUGAGGGCCGGUCAAAUACAGCAGAGGUGAGUUAGCAUCUGUUGCGGGGGGGGACACUGGACUAGAGUUGACGGUAUGAUGACUUUCAAUUCUCUUCCCCGUCCUACACGACUAUGCCGAGGAACAGAGCAGGCCUGUUUCCAACAGGCCAGGGGCUUCAGAGUCCCACAGUGCACCAGCCAGUGCCCUUUGUCUGACCGGUCACAGUUCAGGUCCCCUUGUGUAUCAUAUGGUUACUUGCUGCUUGGUCACUGACCGAAUUCUCUCCAGGAUAAUAUGCAUAUUACUGACAGUAGAGUGCUGUCAGCUAAGCUAAGGUGAGUUACUUUGUCCAGUCAUUUGAAAUCUCUUGGGGUUCAUCCCUCGUGCAUGAUGAAAAUCACCAUCCGUCAUUCGCAGUUUCCACUCUAGUGCCCUCCCGGCCAGGGAGAACUCCCCCAGUGCGGAACAUCCACAUUCCUCCUUGAAGGCAUGCCUGAACCCACUAGAGGGCAUGUGCAAGUGCUAGGCCACCGGUCUUGGGCUGGUGCGCUGGAUGGGAAGCGGGGGUUGGCACAGUGCGGGGUCUUGACAGACCUUCCUUUGGAUGUCUGAAUCUGCACAGAGACCCUUGUCAAUGAAUGAUUUACUGACUGACCCAUGGGUAUAUAGGGCUACUGCCAGUUC